GUCUAUAACCAUACCACCCUGAACAUGUCCAAUCUUGUCUGAUCUCAGAAGCUAAGCACGGUUGGGUCUGGUUAGUACUUGGAUGGGAGAAACCUGGUACCUGUUUGCA
rnacentral:rRNA from 1 species